AGCUUUGCACAGUGGCAGUAUCGUAGCCAGUGAGAUUUAUCCGAGGCACGAUUAUUGCUAAUUGAAAACUUUUCCCAGUACCCCACCAUGACGACUUGCAAUAUAGUCGGCAUUGGCAAUUUUUGACAGUCUCUAUGGAGA
ensembl:snRNA U4 U4 spliceosomal RNA